AGAAGGUUUCGCCUCCAAUUCCAACACGAAAUUAGAUCAGAGAGAAGACGAACCGGUUCGAGCAUCCAGAGGAGGCCGUGUUUCCCUGAGAGCUUUGUGCAUCAAAAGGGUGGGGUUCAGGCCUCAGGUGUCUGGCAGGCCGCGGUGUUACGCUCUCAGCGGAUAACCAUACGAUUAAGCAAUAUGGGUGAAAUGACUGGUAGUGCCAUGAAAAAUAUGUCCCCGUGCGAUGUUGCAGCUCUAAAGAAAUGCUUGGAAGAAAACAAGGGAGACCGCACAAAAUGCCAGUCACUGGUUGAAGAUUUCAAAAGCGCCUGCUCUGCACAAAAGCAGACUUCCGCUUCUCAAGCUUCUCCAAAGCCAUCAUGAUGGAGAAGCCUGACGUAACUUUGGUGCCUUCAAUACCAUUUAGUCUCUAUUUCUAGUCUUGGAUUCGUCAUGCUAAAGUUGGGAUUUGAAGUAUGAAAGGGUUUACUGAAAAAUAAUAAUAUGCAAACUCCCUCUUUCAAACGAUGAAACUUUAUGAGAAGAAAUGUAUCUUAGUUCGAUUUUGUUGCAGUUAAUGCCAUUUUAUGGUUCCUUGGCCCUAAAGCUGUGGUCAAGGCACUGGAAACUUCAACAGUUCUAUCAUCGUUUAUUGCUUCUAACAAUUUGAACAUGACUGUGGUGAAUAAAAGCUACUUUUCUAGCUUUCCUUA